UUGCUAUGAUGACUUCUUAGGACACCUUUGGAAUAUCCAUGAAAAUAAAAUUGUGUUACUGAGCAAU